UACGUAGGCAGCAAGCGUUGUUCGGAAUUACUGGGCGUAAAGAGUGUGUAGGCGGUGUUCUAAGUCUGUUGUGAAAUCUCCCGGCUCAACUGGGAAACUGCAUCGGAAACUGAUCGGCUUGAAGAUGGGAGAGGGUAGUGGAAUUCCCGGUGUAGUAGUGAAAUGCGUAGAUAUCGGGAGGAACACCAGUGGCGAAGGCGACUACCUGGCCCAUUCUUGACGCUGAGGCGCGAAAGCUAGGGGAGCGAACGGG
rnacentral:rRNA from 1 species